AGGGAGACUGGAAUUCCUGGUGUAGCGGUGAAAUGCGCAGAUAUCAGGAGGAGCACCGGUGGCGAAGGCGGGUCUCUGGGCAACAACUGACGCUGAGGAGCGAAAGCGUGGGGAGCGAACAGGAUUAGAUACCCUGGUAGUCCACGCCGUAAACGUUGGGCGCUAGGUGUGGGGCUCAUUCCACGAGUUCCGUGCCGCAGCUAACGCAUUAAGCGCCCCGCCUGGGGAGUACGGCCGCAAGGCUAAAACUCAAAGGAAUUGACGGGGGCCCGCACAAGCGGCGGAGCAUGUUGCUUAAUUCGAUGCAACGCGAAGAACCUUACCUAGGCUUGACAUGCACGGAAAUCUCCCAGAGAUGGGGGGUCCGUAAGGGCCGUGCACAGGUGGUGCAUGGUUGUCGUCAGCUCGUGUCGUGAGAUGUUGGGUUAAGUCCCGCAACGAGCGCAACCCUCGUCCUAUGUUGCCAGCACGUGAUGGUGGGGACUCAUAGGAGACUGCCGGGGUCAACUCGGAGGAAGGUGGGGAUGACGUCAAAUCAUCAUGCCCCUUAUGUCUAGGGCUGCAAACAUGCUACAAUGGCCGGUACAAAGGGCUGCGAUACCGCGAGGUGGAGCGAAUCCCAAAAAGCCGGUCUCAGUUCGGAUUGGGGUCUGCAACUCGACCCCAUGAAGUUGGAGUCGCUAGUAAUCGCAGAUCAGCAAUGCUGCGGUGAAUACGUUCCCGGGCCUUGUACACACCGCCCGUCACGUCACGAAAGUCGGUAACGCCCGAAGCCGGUGGCCCAACCCCUUGUGGGAGGGAGCCGUCGAAGGCGGGAUCGGCGAUUGGGACGAAGUCGUAACAAGGUAACCAAGGG
rnacentral:rRNA from 1 species